rnacentral:tRNA from 1 species
GGUAAAAUGGCUGAGUAAUAGGUAAUAAACUGUAAAUUUAUGUAGGAAAUUUAAUAAUUUCUUUUACC